GUCACAUUGUGGAAUUCAUCAGUUUGAUAGUUAACUGUUGUGUCAACUUGAGUUGCCCAACUGAUCCGCUUAACAUAGUUCUGAGUGUGACUGAAUGGAUUUACUGAAGAUGAAAGACCCACCAUAGGUGUGAGUAGCACCAACCAAUAGGCUUAUACCUGAGUGGAAUAAAAAAGGGAAAGAAGGACAGCUCACUUCUGUUUCAUUGGGGAAGCUCCAGUUUUUGCCUUUGGACAUCAUCUCCUGGUUUCCAGUACAGACUCUUCAGCCUUGCAGUGCAGACUCUGGCUUCCUGAUAUGGACUGGCAUGGGACUCUACAGUGAGCACCAGGCCUUCAACCUUUGACAGUCCUUUUGUACUCUUCCACACUUGACUCCACGGGCAGCCGUUAUGGGGAGUCUGGCAUGGCUCAGCUGAAUCUUUUGCUGAGCACAAGGCUGAAACCAGUCUUUGCUGGUCUGAGUUUCUGACUUCAGGAAACAUCUGGGGCCCUCUUCUGAAAAGCUUUCCUCAUAAAUACAGGGUUACCCUUACAACUAACUAAGCCAAUGUUUUAAAGACUUAAUUAAUCUGCAAAACCUCUUCGCCUUGCCCUACUCUCAAACUCAAUAUUCUAUUACCUUUGCCAUAUUCUAGUGUUUAGAAGCAAGCCACAGGUCCUACCAAAACUCAAGGGGAAGGAAUUACACAAGAGCACAGUGGAUCAUCUGUGACUUCUGCCUACCACAAUGCUUGAUUUCAGUGGAGGAAGAACUUGGAAUGGGCAAGAUAACCUGAAAAGCCAAAGCUCUUUGAUAUUUUGUGAAUUUUGUGCAUCCCCAUCUCCCUGUCCUUUGAGUCAGAGACCACAUUCUUGAGUGAGAACAGGGUCCAGGCAGAUGAUGAAAGGCCUGAAAAGAGCCUGCUAAUUCUUUUUUUUUUGGUACCGGGGAUCAAACUCGGGUCCUUGCACUUGCACAGCAGGCGGCGGAACCACUGAGCUAAAUCCCCAGCCAAGAGCCUGCUGAUUCUUAGAUCCUCAGCCCUGGAUAAUUUUCAGAUGACUAAAUGAAAAUAAAAAAAUUCACAAUGGAUCAAGAUUCAUGUUCAUGAAGAGAGCACCUAUGUGGGCCUAGUUUAUCCAAUCAGCCACAGAAGUGUCCUCAUCCUCACUCCUCGGCAUUGUCAGUCAGAUGGAGACAUUGUGUAGUGGAGAAGGAAAGACCAGACUAUGAUUGCCUUUCUGAGACCUGGUAGGACUAUGCAAGUGCCUGUGGAGGUGAAGUCUGUCUUGUACCAGCAGUAGUCCCCUUGUUUUAACCUAUCAGAGAGCCCAAUAAUCACAGGAUUCUUCAGAGAUUCUUCAGGAUUCUUCAUGUCCUUGAUGCCAUGCACAGACCUGCCUGUGACCAUAAACUCAAUAAGAGCUGAGACUGUGCCUUAUUUAUCUAGCACCUACACUGCCUUACGCAAGUCAACACUUAAUAAAUGUUUUUGAAAUGAAAUUGGUCAUCAUAAUAAUAGUGAACAUUUAUUUUAUUUUAUUUUAUUUUUUUUGGUACUGGGGAUCGAACUAGGGACCUUACGCUUGCGAGGCAGGUGCCAGAACCACUGAGCUAAAUCUCCAGCCCCUUGAACAUUUAUUAAUUGCUCUCUGUAUGCCUGUCAUAUAGAACACACCCCAUGCCUUUAGCUGUCCCCAUGACCAUCUCAUUUGACAGAUGGGGAAACUGAGGCCUGAGGAGGUGAAACUGAUUUUCUUAGUGAUACAAACAGCAAGUGAUAGAGUUUUGAAGAGAAGAACAACUUCUGCCUUCACAUCCUGGGCCUUGUCUUUUAUACAGGUUGUUGGUAGCAAGCCCCUUACCAGAGCCUCUUUCUUUUCCUUCCUUUCAGCCUCCCCAAGGUUCCCAGUGGUGCUACUUUCCCCCCUGCCCCUUUCCCUGUCCUUUUUCUGAAGGGAGGAAAAAGUUUGCAGAACUUUUAUGUUGGAGCAGGGCCACCUGGGUCAUCAGAAAGAAGGGAAUGGAAUUAAUAGGAGAAAAUGAAGACAUGGAAACAAAGUCUUUGUAAAUAGGGAGGGGUGGAGGGGUUGAAGGGAAGGCAGGGGAAGGGUGAAAAAUAAGAAGCAAGAGAGAAUAUGUAAAGGUACAAAUUUCCAAUGAUGAAUGUCACUAUAUUGUAUAUCUAAAAU
rnacentral:lncRNA from 1 species